UCCUCCUCCACUGAGCGGAGGCAUAUUGUCUGUGGCGCAGCGCGACAGUGCGGGUGUCCGAUUACAAACCGUGCGCCGAGGAGCCGCCGGUACAGAGCGCUCCUCUGUGGGGCAGAAAUAUCGCAGGGACUCCGGAGAGAGCGCAGAGGAAUCACUGCGGAGAGAGAAGGAGUUUUCACCGAGGUCUGUUUCUGACCAGAGAAACAUCAGGACUGAGGAUAUUUCAUCUUAAGCGCAUCUUUGAUUUUGUGAGUCCCCCUACUCUUCUCACCGGGACAAGACACGCAGCUUCGCUCCCUGCUAGAUGAACCGGAGUUGGGCACCUCAUUUGGUGUGUCUUUCCAAUGGUCUUGGCCCCCUGAGGCCUGAGGAAAAGUGAGCCAAGCCCAGGCCCCCAUGGGACGCCCUUUUACCCAGCAUGCACUGCUCUUGCUGCAGUGCAUGCUGGUCCUGCGGCCUGCAGGCGUGGCCGGUAGGAGAGGGCCAGUGCUGCUGCCUGAGUCACCCUGUCACAAGAUGGAGCACCCACUUGUCCCACACUCAGAGAUGGAGCCGUGGAUCUUCAGGUUCAAGGCAGAGGGCACAGUGGAUUACUCGCAGCUGACCUUUGACCCCGGCCAGAACGAACUGAUCGUCGGUGCCAGAAAUCACCUGUUCAGGCUCAAUCUGGAAGACCUGACACUGAUCCAGGAGGCUGAGUGGCACUGCGACGAGUUCACCAAGGGAGCCUGCUUCAGCCGUGGAAAAUCUGAGGAGGAAUGCCAGAACUACAUCAGGGUGCUGCUGGUGAACGGGAACAGGCUGUUUACCUGUGGAACCAAUGCUUUCACCCCCAUCUGCACCAACCGAACGUUGACUAAUCUGACAGAGAUCCACGAUCAGAUCAGUGGGAUGGCUCGGUGUCCCUACAACCCGCUGCACAACUCCACCGCUCUCAUCACCUCCAGCGGGGAGCUUUAUGCCGCCACUGCCAUGGACUUUUCUGGGCGAGAUCCCGCCAUCUACCGCAGCCUGGGUGGCCUUCCGCCGCUGCGCACCGCCCAGUACAACUCCAAGUGGCUCAAUGAACCCAACUUCGUCUCCUCCUACGACAUCGGUAACUUCACCUACUUCUUCUUCCGGGAAAACGCCGUGGAGCACGACUGCGGCCGCACCGUGUUUUCCCGCGCUGGGCGAGUCUGUAAGAAUGACAUCGGCGGGCGCUUCCUCCUGGAGGACACGUGGACGACCUUCAUGAAAGCGAGGCUGAACUGCUCCCGACCCGGAGAGAUCCCCUUCAACUACAACGAGCUGCAGGGAACAUUUUACCUGCCUGAGCUGGAGCUGCUUUAUGGCAUUUUUACCACCAACGUAAACAGCAUUGCUGCAUCUGCGGUUUGUGCCUUCAACCUCAGUGCCAUCACGCAGGUUUUUAACGGGCCCUUCAAGUACCAGGAGAACUCACGGUCGGCCUGGCUGCCCUACCCCAACCCCAACCCGGACUUUCAGUGCGGCACCAUCGACUCGGGCACCUACGUGAACCUGACCGAAAGAAACCUGCAGGACGCCCAGAAGUUCUUGCUGAUGCACGAGGUGGUCCAACCCGUGGUUCCCGUGCCGUAUUUCAUGGAGGAUAAUGUGCGCUUCUCUCAUGUGGCAGUGGAUGUGGUGCAGGGGAAAGACAUGCUGUUUCACAUCAUAUACCUGGCAACUGAUUAUGGGACUAUCAGGAAAGUGCUUUCCCCUCUCAAUCAGUCGACGGGGAGCUGCUUGUUGGAGGAGAUCGAGUUGUUCCCGCCCAGGAAGAGGCAGCCGAUCCGGAGCCUGCUGAUCCUUCACAGCCGCAGCGAGCUUUACGUGGGCGUGAGGGACCAGGUCAUCAAGAUCCCGCUGAAGAGAUGCAGCUACCACAAGAGCAGGGAAGCAUGUGUGGGGGCCAGGGACCCGUACUGUGGCUGGGAUCUGUUGCUGAAGAAAUGCACCACCCUGGAGGAAAGUGUCAGAAUGAGCCAAUGGGAGCAGAGCAUCACCAAAUGCCCCGUCCGUAAUGUGACGAUCGAUGGAGGCUUCGGUGCCUGGUCAGGCUGGUCCAUGUGUAGUCAUACUGACGGCGGGAGUGCGGGGUCCUGUCUCUGUCGGACGCGAGCCUGUGAUAACCCUGCCCCUCAGUGCGGGGGCCAGCAGUGCCACGGGAUCAGUGUGGAGGUUGCAAAUUGCUCGAGAAACGGAGCGUGGACUCCCUGGACUGUCUGGUCUCCCUGCAGCACCAGCUGCGGCAUCGGCUUCCAGGUCCGUCAGCGCUCCUGCAGCAACCCGACCCCUCGCCACGGAGGGCGAGUGUGUGUGGGCCAGAACCGAGAAGAGAGGUACUGUAAUGAACACCUGCCCUGCCCGCCUCAUGUCUACUGGUCGGCAUGGUCGGCAUGGGAACGCUGCACUGUGCCUUGUGGCGGAGGCAUCCAGUCACGACGCAGAACCUGUGAGAACGGCAACGACUGUCCUGGGUGUGGUCAGGAGUACCAGUCGUGCAACACCCUGCCAUGUCCCGACCUGAAGAAGACCACGCCGUGGACUCCCUGGACGCCCGUCAACAUCUCAGACAAUGGCGGGCACUACGAGCAGCGCUUCCGCUACACUUGCAAAGCUCGCAUCCCGGACCCCAGCCUCCUAGAAGUGGGCAGACAGAGGAUCGAGAUGCGUUACUGCUCCAGUGAUGGAUCCACGGGCUGCUCCACCGACGGUGAGGUGCUCCGUCUCGGGAGGAUGUCAGGCCACACAGUGAACGGCGGCUGGUCAUCAUGGGGUUCCUGGUCCCAGUGCAGUCGGGACUGCAGCCGGGGGAUCCGCAGCCGGAAGAGGACCUGCAGCAGCCCAGAGCCCAAGUAUGGAGGUCAGACCUGCCUUGGUCCGGCACAGGAGUAUCAGGAGUGUAACAUCACCCCCUGUCCAGUGGAUGGCAGCUGGUCGUGCUGGUCUUCAUGGUCCAAGUGCUCCGUGACGUGUGGAGGGGGACACUACAUGCGGACGCGAACCUGCAGCAACCCCCCGCCGGCUUAUGGAGGGGACAUCUGCCUGGGCCUGCACACUGAAGAGGCACUGUGCAACACGCAACCUUGUCCAGAGAGCUGGUCCAGCUGGUCUGAGUGGUCCCACUGUGACUCCAACGGAGCCCAGCUGCGUGUGCGUCACUGCGAUGUCCUGUUUCCCACUGGAAACCAGUGCUCGGGAAACAACAGUGAAACAAGGCCAUGCCCUCCUGACUCCAAUUUUAUACCAGAAGUCUCCAUUGCACACUCCAGUCAGGAGGAGAGGCGCUGCGGAGAUUUCAACCUCUUCCACAUGAUCGCCGUGGGGCUCAGCAGCUCCGUCCUCGGCUGCCUGGUCACGCUGCUCGUCUACUCGUACUGCCAGCGCUACCAGCAGCAGUCACACGACGCCACCGUCAUCCACCCCAUCUCGGCCGCGCCGCUCAACACCAGCAUCACCAACCACAUCAACAAGCUGGACAAAUACGACUCCGUGGAAGCCAUCAAGCCAGACGUGUCGGUACUCUUGCCCUUGGACGACCCCGCCAUGCACCAGCCUCUCUCUGCUAACAUGGGGGUGUCCAUGCGCGGCCUGGAGAUUUUCUACUAACCUCUGAACCUCUCUUCAACAUCCCGCCUCUUGACCUCCCCCCCUACACAACAACUCUUUGAUCCCAAACGCCACUACUUCCUCUUCCCUCACCGUGUCCUGCCAUUCCACUUCCUGUGGCACUUCCUGUGUGUGGCAGGCCCUCAACAAAAACAAUCUGAUCCUGGAGGAAAGAAAUAAGUACUUCAACCCACAGCUUGCCGGGAAGACCUAUACCAAUGCAUACUUCGCCGACCUCAACACCUACGAUGACUAUUAACUUUCGAUUCGGCAGUUCACACUCCGCACUGGGGAACACCAACCUGAUCAUCCAUUUUGACUGUAUUCUUUUCUCUGUGCUUUGUAUUGAGAUUCGUGAAACCAUGCGUGGGAUAGACCCACUCUGAGACUCUAUGGCAGCUGGUAUGUAAUGAAAACACAGACACACGUUGCCAACAGAGGGAAACCCACCUUCUCUCAGGUGCCUUGGGGUACAAUUGGAAACUUCUUUUUUUUUCGUCGAGGGGGGGCAAAUCUCGUCUUGCCUCUCGCUGGGAAACGGACAGCUGGAUUUCCCAACAUGGACAAGAAGGGAAAAAUAAAAACUCAAAAGUGACUGUGGGAAACGUGAUUCCCUUUUAACUUUCCUGUGACGCCUCGACAACUGACCUGUAUUUGUAAUGAGGGAAAUAACCACAAAACUGGCUUUGCAUGAUUUCAUCCUGACGUGUUUUUCUCUGCUGUUCUGUUUUAUUUUGCAUGAUUGAGCUCAUUCCAGGGUUGUUGGGGGACUCUUUGCUGGUCUUAGGUUCAGGGCCGGUAUCGGAAGUCAUGGAAAAACAAAGGCUGCGGUGAUGUCUGGUGGCGUCGACCAUUUACUGCUGCAGACGGAUCAAUAUCCAUCCCGGUCCCUGAAUCAGGAUGUAGAUAUUUAAAUUUUUUGGUCAAGUUUGUCUUUGUCUUUGUUUUCUUUUAUUUUCUUUCAGGGUCUAGCAGUUAGCGAAAUCUGUGUAAAAGCUUUUAUGUUGUUCUUAUCUUUGCUUUUAAAGACAUGUUUUUUGUACAGGAGGUUAAGUUCAAAUCCUAUGUCUUUAGUUUUUCUUAUUCAAUGUCUCAAGUGUUUAAAGAUUUUUUCUUUUGGAAAGAAAAAAAGGUUUAUGUGAAUUCUGGCAAGUAAUCGCGGGUUUUCAUGUCAACCUGCACCAUGUUCAGUCUCUGUCACCGUACUUUUUAUAUUUUUUGUAAAAAAAAAAAAGGAAGAAAUGUUUUUGAAUUUUGAUAGUGUUCGCAAUUCUUUUGGCUUCUGAGUUCAAUAUGUAUUUGUGAGAGCAGGAUGUUAACAACAUUAACUGUACAGGUGAAACAUAGCAAACAUUAUUUUCCUGAACCCCCACCGGAGUGCUACCCAUAUACUAGAAGAUGAAAUCCAUUCAUCAAGUUGAGAUAUUUCCGUUCAGAGUGUAUAACCACAUAUUAGGUUAUUCAAUGGUUCAGUUGUAACUAACUCUUUUUACAUGUUUGCUUGUGUUUCUGUGCAUAAAUUAAAAACUGCUUCGUACACAAA